GCUUUGCUGUGGCUCAGUUGGCUGAGCAUUGCACUCUCAAUGCCAAGAUUGUGGGUUCCAAUCCCAGGGAAAGCA